rnacentral:tRNA from 1 species
CGCGGGGUGGAGCAGUUUGGUAGCUCGUCAGGCUCAUAACCUGAAGGUCGCAGGUUCAAAUCCUGCCCCCGCUACCA